AUUGAACGCUAGCGGGAUGCUUUACACAUGCAAGUCGAACGAGUGGCGGACGGGUGAGUAAUAUAUCGGAACGUGCCCAGUAGCGGGGGAUAACUACUAGAAAGAGUGGCUAAUACCGCAUACUAUUGGAGCGGCCGAUAUUGGAUUAGCUAGUUGGUGGGGUAACGGCUCACCAAGGCAACGAUCCGUAGCUGGUUUGAGAGGACGACCAGCCACACUGGGACUGAGACACGGCCCAGACUCCUACGGGAGGCAGCAGUGGGGAAUUUUGGACAAUGGGGGAAAGCCUGAUCCAGCCAUCCCGCGUGUAUGAGAAGGCCUUCGGGUUGUAAAGUACUUUUGGCGAAGAAGCGGUAUCUGCAGAAGAAGCACCGGCUAACUACGUGCCAGCAGCCGCGGUAAUUC
rnacentral:rRNA from 1 species